CCAGGUAUUCCCAGUGUCAUAACUAUCAUCCAGCCAUGUCUCAGUUAUUCCCACUAUGUCAUAGUCCUCCUCACACAUCACUAAUUCCAGUUCCCCAGUUUUAUUAGUCAUGCUUCUGCCAUUAGUAUACA